GAAGACGUGGCCGAGUGGUCUAAGGCGCCAGAUUUAAGUCUAAAGCUUUGAAUUUUCUGCAAGGUUUUAUAUCUUUGCUCCCUGGUACAGAAAUGUGCGUGGGUUCGAAACCCACCGUCUUCA